rnacentral:lncRNA from 1 species
AGGUUUAAAGUGAUGUAACACGAGGGUGUGCCGCCGUCUGUCUGGCAAGGUAUGGCACCGACACGCUUCCGUGCCGACACGUGGUACGCUUGCGUGCUGAUAGAUACGCACGACCUCCUACUGAUACGCUUUGGUACGAACUUAUUUCAGUUUUUUUUUUUGUUCCAAUAAACUUUUAUAAUAUUAUUUUAAAAAAUUUAAUCAAAUAAUUAUAAAUAUUUGCUAUGUAUAGCUUACUAUACUCAUCAAUUAAUAUAUUUAUAAUUUUUUUUGUAUAUAAAAUACAGUUAUACCUAAUACAGAAUAAAUUUUUUUAUAGAUUAGAAUUUUUAAAAUACAAAGAUAUUUUUUUUGACCAUAUUACAGUCCUUUUUUUAUAAAAUACCAAAAAAUAAUUUUAAAAAUUAUUUUAAAAAGUAUUUGAAAAUAAUUAAUUUUUAAUUAUUUUUUAAAAAAAAAUUAGUAGAUCUAUCAAAAAAAUUAAGCAAUAAAUUAUAUGACAAAUAAAUUAAAUAAAUUUAAGUAUCAAUUGNUUAUUUAAUUUAGUUUUUAAUUUUAUUAGUAUUUUCAAUGUUCUAGCGCAAAAAUAAAUUUUUAUGUUUGAUGUGGCUCAAAAUUUGUUUAUUGAGUUCGAUUUUGUUUUCUUAAUUCGGCAAAAAUUUUACGGUGUGAUAAAUUUUGAUAAAAUAAUUUGUGAAGAAAAAAAUAGAUAUAUGUGAUGGAAGCGGAGAGUUUGGACAAAUUUUUUGUCCGUCUAUUGAUAAACAAAAAAAAUUAAAUUAUAAUUUUUUUGACUUAUCUAAUAAGUAAAUUUUUUAUUUGUAAUGUUUUUGAGGGAAUGAAGUACACAGAAUAUUUUGGAUAUC